rnacentral:rRNA from 1 species
AUUGAACGCUGGCGGCAUGCUUUACACAUGCAAGUCGAACGGUAACAGGCCUUCGGGUGCUGACGAGUGGCGAACGGGUGAGUAAUGCAUCGGAACGUACCCAGAGGUGGGGGAUAACGCAGCGAAAGCUGUGCUAAUACCGCAUGUGAUCUGAGGAUGAAAGCGGGGGACCGAGCAGCAAUGUUUGGCCUCGCGCCUUUGGAGCGGCCGAUGUCGGAUUAGCUAGUUGGUGGGGUAAAGGCCUACCAAGGCGACGAUCCGUAGCUGGUCUGAGAGGACGACCCGCCACACUGGGACUGAGGCACGGCCCAGACUCCUACGGGAGGCAGCAGUGGGGAAUUUUGGACAAUGGGCGGAAGCCUGAUCCAGCAAUGCCGCGUGCGGGAAGAAGGCCUUCGGGUUGUAAACCGCUUUUGGCAGGAACGAAACGGUGUCCGCUAAUACCGGGCGCUAAUGACGGUACCUGCAGAAUAAGCACCGGCUAACUACGUG